GGUUGAGGCUUCUCCAUUAGUUCUU
rnacentral:misc_RNA from 1 species